GAUGAACGCUGGCGGCGUGCCUAAUACAUGCAAGUCGAGCGAACGGACGAGAAGCUUGCUUCUCUGAUGUUAGCGGCGGACGGGUGAGUAACACGUGGAUAACCUACCUAUAAGACUGGGAUAACUUCGGGAAACCGGAGCUAAUACCGGAUAAUAUUUUGAACCGCAUGGUUCAAAAGUGAAAGACGGUCUUGCUGUCACUUAUAGAUGGAUCCGCGCUGCAUUAGCUAGUUGGUAAGGUAACGGCUUACCAAGGCAACGAUGCAUAGCCGACCUGAGAGGGUGAUCGGCCACACUGGAACUGAGACACGGUCCAGACUCCUACGGGAGGCAGCAGUAGGGACUCUUCCGCAAUGGGCGAAAGCCUGACGGAGCAACGCCGCGUGAGUGAUGAAGGUCUUCGGAUCGUAAAACUCUGUUAUUAGGGAAGAACAUAUGUGUAAGUACCUGUGCACAUCUUGACGGUACCUAAUCAGAAAGCCACGGCUAACUACGUG
rnacentral:rRNA from 1 species